rnacentral:rRNA from 1 species
GCAAGUCGAGCGGAGAUGAGGUGCUUGCACCUUAUCUUAGCGGCGGACGGGUGAGUAAUGCUUAGGAAUCUGCCUAUUAGUGGGGGACAACAUUCCGAAAGGAAUGCUAAUACCGCAUACGUCCUACGGGAGAAAGCAGGGGAUCUUCGGACCUUGCGCUAAUAGAUGAGCCUAAGUCGGAUUAGCUAGUUGGUGGGGUAAAGGCCUACCAAGGCGACGAUCUGUAGCGGGUCUGAGAGGAUGAUCCGCCACACUGGGACUGAGACACGGCCCAGACUCCUACGGGAGGCAGCAGNGGNGAAUAUUGGACAAUGGGGGGAACCCUGAUCCAGCCAUGCCGCGUGUGUGAAGAAGGCCUUAUGGUUGUAAAGCACUUUAAGCGAGGAGGAGGCUACUGAGACUAAUACUCUUGGAUAGUGGACGUUACUCGCAGAAUAAGCACCGGCUAACUCUGUGCCAGCA